UGAUGCAAAACUUGGACUGCAGUUCUCUUGUAUUCUGAUCUGAAGGUUUUCUUCUCUGUAUUUGCAGAAAUCCUGAAUCCUCUUCUGCAUCACAUCUUUUGCACGAGGGCUGCAAAAGGCAUCUGCUGACUGAAGCCAUCAGUCUGGUGGGCUGAAACACUUUUGGUUGCAAAGAAGAGAUUAAACUUGGACUCCAUUAAGUGACUGUAGUUGGAAGGCCUGAGUUAUUCCUUUAUAUGGAGCUACUGCACACUGGAAACAGCUGCUGUCAGCAAAAACAGCCUAUCUGAAAACCUACAAAGCUCCACAAGCCUUAACAGCUUAACAGACCACUACAGAACAGAGGUGUGAAGUUUACUGAAGUCCAAUUGAUUAAAGUCACAUGCCAGUCUUAGCUGGAAAGCAAAGAAAAGAGAUUCAAACAAUUUCAGAGGAUGUAACUAAACCACAUGUGGUUUACCAUUGAUCUUUACCAUAAAUCAGAAGAAUGAUGAAAAUUGUGGAAAAAGGUAAUGAGAAUAAAGAAAAACAACUGUUUGCUCCCACAAAAGCAUCAAGAAGUCUCAGUAUGUGGACUUCAUGCAAGGUAGUUUUCUCCUUUCUUUCCCUUGGGAUGAUUUCUGUAUUAC
rnacentral:lncRNA from 1 species